rnacentral:tRNA from 1 species
GCAGCUGUGGCUUACUGGUUAGCUCUUCGGACUUGUAACCGGAGGGUUGCCGGUUCGAACCCCGACCAGUAGGCA